UUUUCUGCCACCGAAUACAUUAGCAUGGGAUAAUGGAAUAGGACCCUGUCCUCCUAUUUUCAGUUGGUUUUGGCAGCGCGAGGACUAGGGUAAUGAUUAAUAGGGAUAGUUGGGGGCAUUAAUAUUUAAUUGUCAGAGGUGAAAUUCUUGGAUUUAUGAAAGAUUAACUUCUGCGAAAGCAUCUGCCAAGGAUGUUUUCAUUAAUCAAGAACGAAAGUUAGGGGAUCGAAGACGAUCAGAUACCGUCGUAGUCUUAACCAUAAACGAUGCCGACCAGCGAUUAGGAGACGUUGAAUACAAAACACCACCAUCGGCGCGGUCGUCCUUGGCGUUCGUGUUCACGCACGAGCGCGAGGGCGGCUUAGCCCGAUGGGACCGGUGAAUGACUCCCCUAGCAGCUUGUGAGA
rnacentral:rRNA from 1 species